rnacentral:rRNA from 1 species
CCGCGUGAGGGAUGACGGCCUUCGGGUUGUAAACCUCUUUCAGCAGGGAAGAAGGCCUUCGGGUGGACGGUACCUGCAGAAGAAGCGCCGGCUAACUACGUGCCAGCAGCCGCGGUAAUACGUAGGGCGCAAGCGUUGUCCGGAAUUAUUGGGCGUAAAGAGCUCGUAGGCGGUCUGUCGCGUCUGGUGUGAAAACCCGAGGCUCAACCUCGGGCUUGCAUCGGGUACGGGCAGACUAGAGUGCGGUAGGGGAGACUGGAAUUCCUGGUGUAGCGGUGGAAUGCGCAGAUAUCAGGAGGAACACCGAUGGCGAAGGCAGGUCUCUGGGCCGCAACUGACGCUGAGGAGCGAAAGCAUGGGGAGCGAACAGGAUUAGAUACCCUGGUAGUCCAUGCCGUAAACGUUGGGCACUAGGUGUGGGGCUCAUUCCACGAGUUCCGUGCCGCAGCUAACGCAUUAAGU